rnacentral:rRNA from 1 species
GAUUAUGGCUCAGGAUGAACGCUGGCGGUAUGCCUUACACAUGCAAGUCGUACGAGAGUUUUUAACUCAAGUGGCGGACGGGUGAGUAACACGUAAGAAUUUGCCUUUAGGAGGGGGACAACAACUGGAAACGGUUGCUAAUACCCCAUAUGCUUUCUAGUAAAAUGGAUUUUCCGCCUAAAGAGAAGCUUGCGGCUGAUUAGCUUGUUGGUGAGGUAAUGGCUCACCAAGGCGACAAUCAGUAUCUGGUUUGAGAGGACGAUCAGACACACUGGAACUGAGACACGGUCCAGACUCCUACGGGAGGCAGCAGUGGGGAAUUUUCCGCAAUGGGCGAAAGCCUGACGGAGCAAUACCGCGUGAGGGAUGACAGCCUAUGGGUUGUAAACCUCUUUUUUCAGGGAGGAACACAAUGACGUGUACCUGAAGAAUAAGCAUCGGCUAACUCCGUGCCAGCAGCCGCGGUAAGACGGAGGAUGCAAGUGCUAUCCGGAAUCACUGGGCGUAAAGCGUCUGUAGGUGGUCAAAUAAGUCAACUGUUAAAUCUUGAGGCUCAACCUCAAAAUCGCAGUCGAAACUAUUAGACUAGAGUAUAGUAGGGGUAAAGGGAAUUUCCAGUGGAGCGGUGAAAUGCGUAGAUAUUGGAAAGAACACCAAUGGCGAAGGCACUUUACUGGGCUAUUACUAACACUGAGAGACGAAAGCUAGGGUAGCAAAUGGGAUUAGAUACCCCAGUAGUCCUAGCCGUAAACAAUGGAUACUAGAUGUUGAACAGAUCGACCUGUGCAGUAUCAAAGCUAACGCGUUAAGUAUCCCGCCUGGGAAG